GACGAACGCUGACGGCGUGCCUAAUACAUGCAAGUAGAACGCUGAAGAGAGGAGCUUGCUCUUCUUGGCUGAGUUGCGAACGGGUGAGUAACGCGUAGGUAACCUGCCUUGUAGCGGGGGAUAACUAUUGGAAACGAUAGCUAAUACCGCAUAACAAUGGAUGACACAUGUCAUUUAUUUGAAAGGGGCAAUUGCUCCACUACAAGAUGGACCUGCGUUGUAUUAGCUAGUAGGUGAGGUAACGGCUCACCUAGGCGACGAUACAUAGCCGACCUGAGAGGGUGAUCGGCCACACUGGGACUGAGACACGGCCCAGACUCCUACGGGAGGCAGCAGUAGGGAAUCUUCGGCAAUGGGGGCAACCCUGACCGAGCAACGCCGCGUGAGUGAAGAAGGUUUUCGGAUCGUAAAGCUCUGUUGUAAGUCAAGAACGAGUGUGAGAGUGGAAAGUUCACACUGUGACGGUAGCUUACCAGAAAGGGACGGCUAACUACGUG
rnacentral:rRNA from 1 species